GUCUGUCUAGCUGUGGCUGGUUGAAAUUCACGAGCCUUAAUGAAUCUUAUUGUUGAUAGCAAGAAGUUGAUUCCCAGUGCUGUUUUCAUGAUUGUACCCUAAAUUAAUCCACUAAUCUCAGGCUGGCAGCUCUUGGUCCAGAGCCCUGCACACCACAGCAACACAAGUGAAGAUGCUGCUUCAAUGUUAAGCAAGUUUCUGACUCAAUCAACAUUUCGGGCAGACAGUUCCAGACUCUCAUCAUCCUCUGAUUUCCCCGCAGACCAACAUAAUUUUUACCACACAAACUCAAGCACAGCUUUCAGACUAGUCAAACCCAAGAGACAAGCAGGAGGAAAAAGCGACUUCAACCUCUCUUUCCUUUGCAUUACCCUUCUCGGCUCAGGCUCCAUCGACCUGUCAGAGACAUCAUUGUGAUUGACUGCCCUGGCAGAUGUGCUGCUAUAACAGGAGUGGAACAAAUACCUUAGAUGCUGAACAUCUAAUACUAUAAAGUGAUCUUUAAAUGAGACAACUAGAAUAUAAAUGGAUUAAAGUGGCUAGUAAUGGGAAAACAAGUACCCAUUCAAAGUGCAGUUGGAAGAAAUUUAAGACAACGAAAGUUGCAUUAUAAAUUUAUUCACACUUAUUGCUGUGCUGAAAUAUGAGCCUGUAUUCUUUCUUGACUUUGGCUUCCUUUCCAUAAAUUCUUUAAUGUGUCUCUUUAAUGUACUCACUAUGUAAUGCAUUUAUAUCAAAUAACUGUUGUAGGUUUGUAAUUUAGUGUCUAAAAAGUUGUGAUUUAAUUGUGAUCGACAAAUGUGCACUAAAACCACUGUUCAUUGAUAUAGAAUCUUAACUGACCUUCAAGUAAAUGCAACAAAACCUUACUGAUUCUUUAAACAGUCCACAAUUUUUAGAGUCUAAUGUUAUUUAUGUUAUUAGGAAUCUUCAGACUUUAAACUUCAUUUUUCAAUAUAUCAACACAACAUACUCUGCCUAAUCACUAAACAUGCUGAACUGACAGAUUUAUUGAAUCCCAUUGCUGCUUUAUGAGCAGAAGUAUAUGUUAAACACAACAGCUUAUUAGUUUUACACACUUAAUUUUCACUGUAAUAUAACUUUUGACGUGUAUUAGUCUUGUUUAAUGUUAAACCGUCAGCAUUUAAAAUAUAAAGUAUAUUCCAGCUAAACAUCUCAUUUAUAAACAUUUUAUAUUUAGUUUAAAAUUGUUUUCAUUAAACAUAAGUGAAAGGAAAUGAAAUGCAUGAAUUUUUUUUAACUUUUCACACUUCUUUCAAUCUAAUGACACAAUAUAGUGUAAUGGGUCUAACAAAACACAGAAUGCAUUAGUGAAUCAGUAUGAAUGCCAUGCCAGGCCAAAGAUAACUGUUGUAGUCAUAGAUUUAAUAUACUUCUAAAUUUACAACAAAACUGGCACUCAGUAUAGCUUUAUUUGUUUUUUUCAUCUGUGGUGUAAUGUAUGCAAUCUUACUCCAACAAAUUUUAAACAGUGUGAAGUUUUUUUAUGUAUUGAAAUACAGAGAUAUGCUAAAUUACUUCAUCUGCUUUUAUUUAAUAGAAGUGCUGAUUAAACUGUGAAAAUUAAAGAAUGUUAUUACUUUUAUUCUUUGUUGAAUGUGAACAAAAGACAGAAUAUUGAGGACUAAAGGUGCAUCCAUUCUAUUGGCAAUUGGAGCAUAUUAUACGAUAGCCUUUUUGAUGUCUAUCUGUUACCUUUUAACCUAUUAGUGAUAUUUAACAACCUGAAACAAGGGCUGCAUUUAUAUAGUGUAGAGGAAUGUCUCUUUAGCACUCUUUGCAAAAGCACAAUCAGCAAAGAAUAACAUUUUGGGAGGGAUGAGCUAACAUUUGAUUAAGUGGUUAAUUAUACAGAAGAUUCUAAAGGAGGAGACGAAGAUGGAGAGAAACACAUAAUCUAUUUUUUUUUUCAAUACAUGUGGAAUGUAUUUAAGUGUUCAAAAGUUUCUUUUUGUGUAGCUGUACUU